rnacentral:rRNA from 1 species
UACGGGGGGGGCAAGCGUUGUUCGGAAUUACUGGGCGUAAAGGGCUCGUAGGCGGCCAACUAAGUCAGACGUGAAAUCCCUCGGCUUAACCGGGGAACUGCGUCUGAUACUGGAUGGCUUGAGUUUGGGAGAGGGAUGCGGAAUUCCCGGUGUAGCGGUGAAAUGCGCAGAUAUCGGGAGGAACACCAAUGGCGAAGGCAGCUUGCUGGGACGGUACUGACGCUGAGGCGCGAAAGCGUGGGGAGCAAACAGG